rnacentral:lncRNA from 1 species
UACAUGUGGUUUGUUGUAAAAUUUGGAACUUCAUCUUCAAAUGACCUCUUACCCCACUCCUCCAAUCUGUUCUUCAUCCCCAUACAUUUAGAAUUGGUGUCCACAGCUCUUUCACCUGAUGAACGGGUAAUGCAAUGAUGAGGAGUGUUGACGAGUUCAUUUUUUGGCAUGACAGUCUCAUCGAACUUGGAUGGAGCACCUAAAUGCAUGGAACCCAUUGACAAUCGACGUUUCAGCGCAACCACGAUUAGAGUCUCCUCGACAUCUCGAAGUACCCAUACAAAGCCCAGUGAAGAUUUAGUCCUUUCUGUUGCCAUGGUGGAACAUUCAUAAAAUUCGAGUGGUAUCAAAACAACGAAAAUUGAAGAAAGGCUAGUUGAGGGUAUUACGCGUCGGGCUAGCACUUUAUACGCUUGACAUGUACCGAAUCAACGACAAACUAAAGAAUCAACUGGUUUUAAUGAGUGAUACGGUGUAAAAUAUUGUCCGCGAUAGAUCCGUAGAAGAUCGAAAUGGGGAUUUGGCAAAGGAAAUUUCUGUAGAGGGUGAUUUGGGAAAGAUAAAGUUUUAGGGAUGAUUCUUAAUGUCAAACUCAAUGUACUUGUAGCAUGAUUCUUUGAAUAGGAAUAUGAAAGAACACUAAUUCAGGGAUUUUAUUCUUUGAUUGAUCGUAAUCCGGGUGUGUUUGUUGUUUGCGAGUUUAAGGGCGUCUUUUAUGGAGUAAUCUUUGCUAUGUGAUGAAUUGUAUAUUAUUUUGACAACUUUUCACAUUCCAUUAUUACUCUAUAAAAAAAAGUAUAUAUGGUCAAUAAAAUGUGGA